ensembl:lncRNA
GCAGUACAUGGGUUCACAAAAGAAUUGGAUACAACUUAGUGACUAAACAACAAAAACAAAAUAUUCUUGUACAAGAAAUUCUCAGAGUGGUGACCUGCUAUUCUAGGUCAGGUCCCAGAAGCAGAGCCUGACACCUGGAUUCUGGUGGAGAUAAUUUACUUCAGGUGCUCUCAGGUGAAACCUAUAAGGGACAGAGGCAGCAGAGUAAGAAUGAGGUCUUAGGUCAAGUCUUGGAUUAUCCUUGAGACAAGGGGGCUGCCUUCUGUACCCCGUAUCAGUCAUCAGUUGGGCUGACCCCUCGGAGUGUGGGGGUAUAACUUCUUGGAUGAGAUGGCACCAAUCAGCUGAGGACAAGUCUCUUGAGAGGAAGCAGCUGUGAGCCAUCAACCCCCGAUACCAACAGCAGAUGUGGAAAGACUUCCUUGACCUGACCGCCAGGUUCCUGUGUCGGUGAGAUCCUCCAGGCAAGAAUACUUCUCCAGGGGAUCUUCCUAACCCAGGGAUCGAAUCUGGGUCUUUGUGAUAUGAAGGGAAUUGUAAGAUCUAAGUCCUGUUCUUCAGGAGAAGGCAAUGGCACCCCACUUCAGUACUCUUGCCUGGAGAAUCCCAUGGACGGAGGAACCUGAUUUCAGCAGCCCCAUCAGGAGUAUGGGUCCAGCCUCUGCAGAGGAAGUUUCUAGCAACCAGGAUGCAGUUAAUACCUGGCGGUGAUGCCGGACACCAUGGGCCCUGCUGUGUCUCUUUGUCACACUGCUGCUGCCUUGGUUCAGACAUCUUCCUGUCUGGGUCUGGGUGCCAAUCCCCCAAAUGUCCCACCUGCAGUCCUGUACCCUCCCAUCCAUUCUGCAUGCUGCAGCCAUAGUGCUUUGUCUGAAAGAUGUAUCUAAUAAAUUCUCUCAACAAAUACUGUACAUUAAAGCAUAUAUAUGG